GAAGCCCUGAUUGUUUCGAAGCCCUACGUAUCACGCGGGGUUUAAAGUAGGAACUUUCGGGGCUUU
rnacentral:ncRNA from 1 species